rnacentral:rRNA from 1 species
GUGAGGAAUAUUGGUCAAUGGGCGGGAGCCUGAACCAGCCAAGUCGCGUGAAGGAAGAAGGAUCUAUGGUUCGUAAACUUCUUUUGCAGGGGAAUAAAGUGCAGGACGUGUCCUGUUUUGUAUGUACCCUGAGAAUAUGGAUCGGCUAACUCCGUGCCAGCAGCCGCGGUAAUACGGAGGAUCCGAGCGUUAUCUGGAUUUAUUGGGUUUAAAGGGUGCGUAGGUGGUUUGAUAAGUCAGCGGUGAAAGUUUGCAGCUUAACUGUAAAAAUGCCGUUGAAACUGUCGGACUUGAGUGUAAAUGAGGUAGGCGGAAUGCGUGGUGUAGCGGUGAAAUGCAUAGAUAUCACGCAGAACUCCGAUUGCGAAGGCAGCUUACUAAGCUACAACUGACACUGAAGCACGAAAGCGUGGGGAUCAAACAGGAUUAGAUACCCUAGUAGUCC